AGCGAACGCUGGCGGCGUGCCUAACACAUGCAAGUCGAACGUGAAAGGGAGCAAUCCCAAGUAAAGUGGCGUACGGGCGAGUAACACGUAGGUAAUCUACCCCAGAAUCUGGAAUAACCGGCCGAAAGGCUGGCUAAUACUGGAUAGAGCGACGAAAUCCGUAAUUGGGUUUUUCGGGAAAGGGAGCCUGUAAAAAGGCCUUCUUCCUGGGAUGAGCCUGCGUCCCAUCAGCUAGUUGGUGAGGUAAAAGCUUACCAAGGCAAUGACGGGUAGCUGGUCGGAGAGGACGAUCAGCCACACUGGAACUGAAACACGGUCCAGACUCCUACGGGAGGCAGCAGUGGGGAAUCUUGCGCAAUGGACGAAAGUCUGACGCAGCAACGCCGCGUGAGUGAAGAAGGCCUUCGGGUUGUAAAGCUCUGUCGAGUGGGACGAAAAUGCUUGGAGUUCACAGCUCCAGGAACUGACGGUACCACUAAAGGAAGCACCGGCUAACUCCGUG
rnacentral:rRNA from 1 species